rnacentral:rRNA from 1 species
AUUGAACGCUGGCGGCAUGCCUUACACAUGCAAGUCGAACGGCAACACGGGAGCAAUCCUGGUGGCGAGUGGCGAACGGGUGAGUAAUAUAUCGGAACGUGCCCAGUAGUGGGGGAUAACUGCUCGAAGGAGCAGCUAAUCCCGCAUACGACCUGAGGGUGAAAGGGGGGGAUCGCAAGGCCUCUGGCUAUUGGCGCGGCCGCGAUCAGAUUAGCUAGUUGGGGGGGUAAAGGCCUAGCAAGGUAACGAUCUGUAGUUGGGCUGAGAGGACGACCGGCCACACUGGGACUGGGACACGGCCCAGACUCCUACGGGAGGCAGCAGUGGGGAAUUUUGGACAAGGGGGGCAAGCCUGAUCAGCAAUGCCGCGUGCAGGAAGAAGGCCUUCGGGAUGUAAAAUGCUUUUGUCAGGGAAGAAAUCCUCUAGGUUAAUACCCUUGGGGGGAUGACGGUACCUGAAGAAUAAGCACCGGCUAACUACGUGCCAGCCGCCGCAGUAAUAC